UGUAAGAAUUUAUGGUCGAACAGACCAAAUUUUUAAACUUCUGCAUCUAAAAAUAAUCUUAAUCCAACAUCGAGGUCGCAAUCUUUUUUGUCGAUAUGAUCUCUCAAAAAUCAUUACGCUGUUAUCCCUUAAGUAACUUAAUCUUAUAAUCAUAAUUUAUGGAUCAAAUCAUUUAUUAAUGAAAAAAAGUUUAUUAAAUUUUCCUAUCACCCCAAUAAAAUAUUAUAUAAAGCUUUAAAGGGUCUUCUCGUCCUUUUAAAUUAUUUAAGCUUUUUAACUUAAAAAUUAAUUUCUAUAACAAUUAUAAUAAGACAGUUAAUAUUUCAUUCAAUCAUUCAUUCCAGCUUCUAAUUAAGAAACUAUUGAUUAUGCUACCUUUGCACAGUCAAAAUACUGCGGCCUUUUUCAAUGGGCAGAUUAGACUUUAAAUU
rnacentral:rRNA from 1 species